UACGUAGGGUGCAAGCGUUGUCCGGAAUUAUUGGGCGUAAAGAGCUCGUAGGCGGCCUGUCGCGUCGGCUGUGAAAACCCGAGGCUCAACCUCGGGCCUGCAGUCGAUACGGGCAGGCUAGAGUUCGGUAGGGGAGACUGGAAUUCCUGGUGUAGCGGUGAAAUGCGCAGAUAUCAGGAGGAACACCGGUGGCGAAGGCGGGUCUCUGGGCCGAAACUGACGCUGAGACACGAAAGCCAGGGGAGCAAACGGG
rnacentral:rRNA from 1 species